AAAGUGACAAAAAUUAUAUUGAUUUUUGAAUUGCCAUAAAGUGGGAAGAGUUUUUGUUGGGCAUAUUGAAGCUGCAAGUUAUAAAACCGACAAGAACACAAAAAGACGACGAGCAGUAUUCCCCCUUGGAUUCCUAUCGGUGCUGAAGCUAAUCAUUUUUGGAGCACGUUUGGAGGUUUUCUUUUGGGGCUGCUAUCUAACCUGCAAAAGUGAUUAACUGUGUGCUGUAUGCUCUAGUGUUGCUGCUGUUGGUACAGUUAGCUGUAAGAACUGAUUAUGCCAUUGUUGCUAGCAAACUACUAUCAGCAACAUCAGCGGCAGCAGCAACAUCGGCGGGAGCAGCAACGGCAGCAACAGCAACAACAGAAGCAAAAGCAAAAGCAACAUCAGCAGGUUGCCAGCACAAACGGCAUGUUACUUGAAUACAAAAGCUAUUGCAAUACAAAUCAGGCUAGCAACAACAACAACAACAACAACAACAACGAUCACCGACAGCUGUGUCCAGCGGAAGCACUAACAAUGUCAACGCCGACAACAACAACCAAAUACAAAAUCAAUGGCGAGGCCAAUGAAAGCGUUGCUGCCAGUACACUGCUUUACCAUCAUGCACAUCAUCAUCUUAAUCAUCAUCAGCAGCUCAGUGGUCUGCACAAUCAUCAUCAUCAUCACCAGCAGCAGCAGUCGCAGCAGCAGCAACAACAACAGCAUCAUCAACAACAUUUGCUGCUUCAGCAGCAACUCCUGCAGCAACAUGUGGCCAGCAGUUCGCCGCUGCAGCAUUUGAGCAAUCUUUUUGGCCAGCAUUUGCCUACGCAGAGUCUGCAGCAUUUGAUAGCCGCCGAGUACUGGCAGCAACAACAACAGCAACAGCACACAGCAACAACAAUUAAAAGCGAGCCAACAACUCAAUCAGCAGCGGCAACCUCGGCCUUUGCAGCAACAGCAACAGCAACAUCGGUCUUUGGUUUCACGCCUCAGCAACACGUCAAUUUGGCAGCCUCGUUAGUCGCCUUAAAGCAAAACGAUCCUGUGGCCGUGGCUGCAAUGGUGCCCAGCCCCACAGAAAUGCCCGGCGCACCGAAAAGAGCGGCAACUGCAACAGCAACAACUACGACAGCAGCAACAUUGCAGGCGCCAAAAGCAACGGCAGAAUCAACAGCCUGCGGAACAAUUGACGAAGACGAAAACGAAGACCACGACAACGAAGACGAAGACGGGGCUGAUAAUGAUGACAGCAACUGCAGCAACAGCAUGCAAAAUCCAGGCGUUGGCAACUUUAAAUUCGAGCCAAGUCAACAGCUUGUGGCCGUGAAUGAAACCAACCUAACGAGCCCCAGAUCCCAGUCCACAUCCACCUCCAGUUCCAUGUCCCGCUCCGUUUGCGGUGCUCGCGACUCGAACAAAGAUGAAACUUUGACUGCUGUUGACACAAAUAUGCGCAAUGUCAGCGCAAAUCACAGUGGCUCCUACUGCUGUUCAUCCUCACAGCAGUCCUCCACCUCCUCCACCUCCUCCCAGUCCUCCCAGUCGCGCGCAUCCAACGAUGAAACGAUGGAACACGACGAUGAUGAUGAUGAGCAAGACCAGAAGCCAACGCUUGAAUUGAAGCUGCAGUCGUGUGAUGAAUAUGUUGAGCAGCCAAAGGAUGAACCAGCAGGACAGCAGACGGCCAACGACAAUGCUUCAGCGCCUUUGCAGCUGAAAACGGAGCCCGAACAGGAGCAGGGACUCGGAGUGGGAAUGGGACUCGGACUAGGACUGACUGGAGCAGCAGCAGCAGUUGCUCUCUAUGGACACUUGAACAAUGUUAGCAAGGAUGUGAGGGACUCGGAGCAAUGCCUGAAAUUGCAGGACCCAAAUGAUAUCAGCCGCCUGUCGCGCUCGCCGUCGCCACUGCAAUCGAAUGCUUCCGAUUGCGAUGACAACAACUCGAGUGUCGGCACCUCCAGUGAUCGCUGCAGAUCCCCGCUCAGUCCGGCGCUCUCGCUGACCCAUCAGCAGGCCAAGCGGCAGCUGCUGUCGCUGCCACAUCCGGCACAUCAUCAUCACCAUCAUUUGAGUCAUCUGAACCACCAGCAGUACAAGCAGGAGGAGGACUACGAGGAUGCCAAUGGUGGAGCACUCAAUCUGACCAGCGACAACUCGCGUCACAGCACGCAGUCGCCUGCCAAUUCGGUCAAGUCCACCAUCACGUCUCCGCCUCAGAUGACAGUGCCCUCGCCCGUGCCGCCCAUGAUCUCGCCUGUGCUGCCGCUGCCGCUGCCACAUGUGGCCAGUGGGGGAGAUGCCGCACCCAAUUCGAUGGCAGCAGCGGCUGCCGCAGCCGCCGCCAUGGCCAAUACAGUGGCCAGUGGCAUCUCGCCGUUGUUGGCCAUGCCGGACAUGUCCUCGCCGCAGGCACAACUGGCAGCCGCUGGUCUGGGACUCAACAAUCCGCUGCUGACGGGUACGCUCUCCCCCCAGGACUUUGCACAGUUCCAGCAGCUGCUGCAGCAGCGGCAAGUGGCGCUCCAGCAGCAGUUCAACAGCUACAUGGAGCUGCUGCGCAGCGGAUCGUUGGGUCUGGCACAGGAUGAUCCCGCACUGACCACCCAGGUGGCGGCCGCCCAGUUCCUAAUGCAGAGCCAGUUGCAGGCCCUCGGCCAGGCCACGCAGCAGCUGCAGGCACUGCAGAAGCAACAGCAGCGCCAACAACUGCAACAGCAACAGCAGCAGCAGCAGCAGCAGCAGCAGGACGAGUCCAUGCCGUUGGCUUUGCCGCUGCACAAUCCGAGUCACCACCACCACAUGCAGCCGCGCAGCUCCACGCCGCACUCCUCACGCAGUCCCAUGGCUGUGCGUAGUCCGGCCAGCUCGCCCCCGCAGCUCCAUCAUCCGCUGCAGAUCACGCCGCCCAGUUCGGCGGCCAGCAUUAAGAUGAGCGGCGGCAUGUUGACUCCCAGCACACCCACCAGCGGCACCCACCAGAUGCACGGCACCACCACGCCGCAGCCCAAGACGGUGGCCAGUGCGGCGGCGGCGCGUGCCGCAGGCGAACCCUCGCCGGAGGAGACCACCGACCUGGAGGAGCUGGAACAGUUUGCCAAGACCUUCAAGCAGCGACGCAUCAAGCUCGGGUUCACCCAGGGCGACGUGGGACUGGCCAUGGGCAAGCUGUACGGGAAUGACUUCUCGCAGACGACCAUCUCGCGGUUUGAGGCGCUCAAUCUGAGCUUCAAGAACAUGUGCAAGCUGAAGCCGCUGCUGCAGAAGUGGCUGGACGAUGCCGAUCGCACCAUCCAGGCCACCGGCGGAGUCUUCGAUCCGGCUGCCCUACAGGCCACCGUCAGCACGCCGGAGAUUAUUGGUCGUCGCCGCAAGAAGCGCACCUCCAUCGAGACUACGAUUCGGGGAGCACUCGAGAAGGCGUUCAUGGCCAACCAGAAGCCCACCUCGGAGGAGAUCAGUCAGCUGGCCGAUCGCCUUGGCAUGGAGAAGGAAGUGGUCCGUGUGUGGUUCUGCAAUCGUCGGCAGAAGGAGAAGCGCAUCAAUCCCUCGCUCGAUAGUCCCACGGGUGCGGAUGAUGAUGAGUCGUCGUCCUACAUGAUGCACUAGGAGGAUAUGUAAGGAUGUUAUCUAGGGACAAAGACAGUGCAAUGUGCAGACAGGACAAAAAGUGAGCGAGGAAACUAAGCAAAAACCUUAUGAGCAGGUUCAAAGUCGCAAACACACAUCAAAUAUUAGCAUAAUUCUGGACUAAAAUUAGGUUCCUCCAACAGUAAUAAAAGGGGUUUGUUUAUGUUAACUAUUAAUGGUAUUUAUUGCAGGCGUAAUUGUAAUGUUCAACAAUUCAACGAAAAUAUUGCUAAUCAAGUGAACAACGGACUGUACUUGGAGCUAAAUGCUCUUGGAGCAGAAAGUUCACUUGAUUACCGACAUUUCUGUAGGCCAUAGGGAAUUCGAAUGCUCUUGCCACCGAUGGGGAACCGAAUUUCCUGCCCUCGAUAGCAAAUCGACUUUCCUGCCUGCCUUGAGCAGGAUUCCCUUCGAUUUCCCUAUGGCCCUCCGCAACACUGUCUAAUUGUCUGUGUAUUAUUAAUAUUUAAGUACCAGUCUCUGCACACAAUUUUCAAAGUCAAAACAAAAAUGAAUUCCUAGCGAAUACCCAUACAAAUAAUAUGCAUAAAAUAUUUUAAAUGUUCCCUAAAACACACAAAAAAACAAAAACAAAACAAGAAAGUGAAGUACAUUUUUAGGGCAUAUUUAUUUUUCGCGUGAAUACUGUGAUAAUCAAUUUGAAUGAUUUUAGUUUUAAUUUAAAAACAAAA